AUUGAACGCUGGCGGCAUGCCUUACACAUGCAAGUCGAACGGUAACGGGCCUUCGGGUGCCGACGAGUGGCGGACGGGUGAGUAAUACAUCGGAACGUGCCCGAUCGUGGGGGAUAACGAGGCGAAAGCUUUGCUAAUACCGCAUACGAUCUACGGAUGAAAGCAGGGGACCGCAAGGCCUUGCGCGGACGGAGCGGCCGAUGGCAGAUUAGGGAGUUGGUGGGAUAAAAGCUUACCAAGCCGACGAUCUGUAGCUGGUCUGAGAGGAUGAUCAGCCACACUGGGACUGCGACACGGCCCAGACUCCUGCGGGAGGCAGCAGUGGGGAAUUUUGGACAAUGGGCGCAAGCCUGAUCCAGCCAUGCCGCGUGCAGGAUGAAGGCCUUCGGGUUGUAAACUGCUUUUGUACGGAACGAAAAGCCUUCUUUUAAUACAGGAGGGUCAUGACGGUACCGUAAGAAUAAGCACCGGCUAACUACGUG
rnacentral:rRNA from 1 species